UGGCAACACUGCCAGGUGACGACAACAGCACGCGCCGAGGCCCGAGCAGCAUCCCUUCUGGCCCUGCCCAACCAGCCCCCUAAAACACCCCAGAAGAAGAAGACGACGAAGGCUCCACACCCACGGGCCAGCGCUGGGGACCUGCUGGCCAGCGACACCCUCAGCCCCAACACUGCCAGGACAACACCUCCACCACCGCCGCCGGGAAGUCUUAACCUUCUCAUGCAGCAGAAGUAGAGCUCUCACGGGCACGUCCACCCUCGACCACGACCACGGACCCUAGGCCGCCGGUGUGUGGAGGAAAAGAGAACAAGGAAAGAACGAGGACAACAACAACACACUCAGCCGCUGCAAAGGUUGGGGCCGCCUCAUCUGCAGGGCUGGACAGCAGCAUGAGUGGCCAGGACAAGCAGGAGCAGACUGCUGCAGGGGGCAGGAGGGUCAGUGGUCACCAGAUGAAGCAACUUGCUGCUGGCAACUCCAGCAACAAAGGAGAGAGGAAGUUUGUGUGUCUGGAGUGUGGAAAAGAAUUAAUCACAAGGGGAGGCCUCAGAUAUCACACCUUUACACACACUGGUGUGAAGAAGUAUGAAUGUAAGGAAUGUGGGAAACUAUUCAUCCAGAAGAGUACCCUUGAUAGACACACCCUUACACACACUGGUGUGAAGAACUAUGAAUGUAAGGAAUGUGGGAAACUAUUCACCCUGAAGGGUCACCUUGAUAGACACACCCUUACACACACUGGUGUGAAGAACUAUGAAUGUAAGGAAUGUGGGAAACUAUUCACCCUGAAGGGUCACCUUGAUACACACACCCUUACACACACUGGUGUGAAGAACUAUGAAUGUAAGGAAUGUGGGAAAAAAUUCAUCCGGAAGAGUACCCUUGAUACACACACCCUUACACACACUGGUGUGAAGAACUAUGAAUGUAAGGAAUGUGGGAAACUAUUCAUCCUGAAGAGUCACCUUGAUACACACACCCUUACACACACUGGUGUAAAAAGUCAUGAGUGUGAAGAGUGUGGGAAGAGGUUCAGUGUGAAGCAGACACUCAAUGAACACGUCUUCAGGCACUAUGGCCUUAGAGAGUUCAAGUGUGAUGUUUGUGGAAAGCUCUUUAAGACAAAGAGAGACAUUGCCAGGCACAUGAAGAUCCACUUCUGAAGUGUGUCUGCCUACAGUAGUUAUAGUGACCAAGAAGGACAAGCAGGACCCGGACGGUGACAUCAUUAUGAGGCUUGAGUACGGUCUCCUGAACUCCUCGUCCCUGGAGCUGAUUGAGUGUGUGAAGCAGUUUGCCAACCUGGUCCUGGCUCUCAUGAUGCUGUUCGCCAGGUACAAUCACUGGAUGGUGGGCGACAAGUUUGAGAGACUCGCCCCCUCACUGCCAAGAAGUCACCCGCCGCAGCCGCCGAAGGGAAGGACGGAGGAACAGCCGCCAACUCCAUCGCUGGCGGCUCCACGUCUACUCUCGUCUCCUCCUCCUCCGCCUCCUCCUCCUCUCUCAACAUGGACGGUCGAAAAAGGAUGUUUAGUGUGGAGGUGUUUGAUUGGGCGUGUUUGAGGCUCGUGCGUGUAGCGGAAAGUUCCAGUUGGCAACACUGCCAGGUGACAACAACAGCACGCGCCGAGGCCCGAGCAGCAUCCCUUCUGGCCCUGCCCAACCAGCCCCCUAAAACACCCCAGAAGAAGAAGACGACGAAGGCUCCACACCCACGGGCCAGCGCUGGGGACCUGCUGGCCAGCGACACCCUCAGCCCCAACACUGCCAGGACAACACCUCCACCACCGCCGCCGGGAAGUCUUAACCUUCUCAUGCAGCAGAAGUAGAGCUCUCACGGGCACGUCCACCCUCGACCACGACCACGGACCCUAGGCUGCCGGUGUGUGGAGGAAAAGAGAACAAGGAAAGAACGAGGACAACAACAACACACUCAGCUUCCGCAAAGGUUGGGGCCGCCUCAUCUGCAGGGCUGGACAGCAGCAUGAGUGGCCAGGACAAGCAGGAGCAGACUGCUGCAGGGGGCAGGAGGGUCAGUGGUCACCAGAUGAAGCAACUGGCUGCUGGCAACUCCAGCAACAAAGGAGAGAGGAAGUUUGUGUGUCUGGAGUGUGGAAAAGAAUUAACCACAAGGCAAGGCCUCAGAUAUCACACCCUUACACACACUGGUGUGAAGAACUAUGAAUGUAAGGAAUGUGGGAAACAAUUCAUCCAGAAGAGUCACCUUGAUACACACACCCUUUCACACACUGGUGUGAAGAACUAUGAAUGUAAGGAAUGUGGGAAACUAUUCACCCU